rnacentral:rRNA from 1 species
AUUGAACGCUGGCGGCAUGCCUUACACAUGCAAGUCGAACGGUAACGCGGGGCAACCUGGCGACGAGUGGCGAACGGGUGAGUAAUAUAUCGGAACGUGCCCAGUAGUGGGGGAUAGCCCGGCGAAAGCCGGAUUAAUACCGCAUGAGACCUGAGGGUGAAAGCGGGGGAUCGCAAGACCUCGCGCAAUUGGAGCGGCCGAUAUUAGAUUAGCUAGUUGGUGGGGUAAAGGCCUACCAAGGCAACGAUCUGUAGUUGGUCUGAGAGGACGACCAGCCACACUGGGACUGAGACACGGCCCAGACUCCUACGGGAGGCAGCAGUGGGGAAUUUUGGACAAUGGGCGCAAGCCUGAUCCAGCAAUGCCGCGUGCAGGAAGAAGGCCUUCGGGUCGUAAACUGCUUUUGUCAGGGAAGAAAUCUUCUGGGUUAAUACCUCGGGAGGAUGACGGUACCUGAAGAAUAAGCACCGGCUAACUACGUGCCAGCAGCCGCCGUAACAC